rnacentral:lncRNA from 1 species
AUGCCCGGCAUGCCGCACGCCUGGUGUUGUGAAGCAUCCGCCAUGAAGAUCUUUCUUCUGCUUGGUCUUAUGAGCCUUACAACUUUUUUGGAUGCAGUAAGCCCAGCUUCUGUUGUUGAACAGGAGGAGGAUGCUGCAGAUGGAGCCACAAUGGAACCCCAGUUGUUUUCAACAUCGUCAUCUUAUAUGGCAGAGGGAUUGGAAGAUGCAAGAACUGAGCUGAACUUCCUGCAAGAACUUGAGACAACAAAUGCAAAUGAAGUGAUAACUACAGUGACAGCUGUGACUGAAACACCAACAACGGGCAUUGUCACCACGAACAAUAUGAAGGCCACAAGGUUUGCAGGAGUUACUACACCUGAAGUGCCACCUGAUGACCAGAAGAUGAAAGCAGACCUUGAACAGAUAGAUUACAACCAAGAUUUUUUCCAUUAUGAUUACCACUUCCUGCGCAAAUGGGGUUUAGUAGCCGCUGCCAUCUUGUUCAUCCUUGGCAUUCUCAUUCUCACCUGCGGUAAACAUGGGAAAUUCCCAAGAUGCCGUGGAAAGAAACGGGCAAGAACCUAUGAUGUGGCCCAGGCCUGAAGCCAUUUCAUAUCCUGAGGAGCAUUGCACUGACACAAGCACACCAUUCAGCAUCACCCUGGAUGUAUCAUAUGGAAGCCUUUCCUAUUCUUCUCCGUGGAAAAAUAGCUGCUUAGCUUCUCUCAACGCCGUCCGCAACAUCCUGUCUAUCUGACCUUCAAUAUAUCUUUCCCCGCUUUUCCUACAACACCUAUUUAAUUUUUUUGGCUCUAUACCUAAGAUAUAUUUCUAUUGAUCUAAUUCCCCUGUAGAAUCAGAAAGUUUGAAAGAAUCGUGGAAUGAACUGUCUUUUUUUUGUGCAGCCUCAGGUUUAGAGAGACUUGAGUUGCCAAGAGAAACCUCAUUGUGAAGUUCUGUUCCAACAAGUCUCAUGUUCUGUACUCACAAUAAUACUUUUGGGUGUGUUUUCCCCCUCCUAUGUUUUCUGGCUUCAUUUCUGUGUUCUUUUGUUAUCCUUUGCAUACGAGGCCAUGAUAAUAUAAAAGGCCUGAAUUGUCACAUAAAUACACACUACCAGAUGAAGUUACGACUGCCUUCAUUUGCACCCAAGGACUCAAAUUCUUGAUUUAAUGAAGACACCCAUGGGAUCAGUAUUUUAACAAUUUGAAAAGUGAGCUCUUUAUACUGGAUACCUUAUAUUAUUCUUUGUAAUGACAAAGAUUCAGUGCCAUCACUUCACUAUCACCACUUUUUGGUAGAAAAUUGUCAAGUCCUAAAUACCCGGUGGCACAGUGUGUUAAAGUGCUGAGCUGCUGAACUUGCAGACCGAAAGGUUACAGGUUCGAAUCCGGGGAGCCGGGUGAGUGCCUGCUGUCAGCUCCAGCUUCUGCCAACCUAGCAGUUCAAAAACAUGCAAAUUUUAUUUAUUUAUUUACAGUAUUUAUAUUCCACCCUUCUCACCCUAAAGGGGACUCAGGGCGGAUCACAAUGCACAUAUACAUGGCAAACAUUCAAUGCCAUUAGAAAUACGACAUAUAUAGAGAGACACAGAGGCAAUUUAACAUUCCAGUUUCCGGCUUCAUGAGGGUAUGCUCAAUUCCAGCCACAGGAGGAGCUGUCGCUUCACCGUCCACUUGUGACACCAAGUCCUUGAUGGAGUACUUCCUCAUUCUUCUGCAGGCUGCAGGAAGGUUUUUUUUAAUGAUGUCAUAAAGCGGUACCUAAAUUUCCUACUCGACAGAUGCAACUGUCUUUCGGGAUGAAUAGGUCAACAGUAAGCUAGACUAUGUGAGUAGAUCAAUAGGUACCGCUCCGGCAGGAAGGUAAUAGCAGUGAAAAUUGCUGUGCAGUGAAAAUACACCCAAGGUUUGGUAUUACAAGUAAACAAACUUCUGUUAAAGGCUAUGGUGUUCUGUAAUGAGGUCCAAAGAGGCAGCUGGAAUCAUACAAUGUGGAAAUUGGCACUGAUUAGCCUAUUAACUCACUGAAAAAUUUGGGUUCUCUAACUGGAAACUACUUGAGAGUUGUACCAGUUGGUGUCCAGUAUAUUUCUCUGAUGUACAUGCAAAUGUGAGUAGAUCAAUAGGUACCGCUCUGGCGAGUAGAUCAUUAGGUACCGCUCUGCCGGCCACAUGACCUUGGAGGUGACUACGGACAACACUGGCUCUUCGGCUUAGAAAUAGAGAUGAGCACCAACCCCCAGAGUUGGACACGACUGGACUUAACAUCUGGGGAAACCUUUACCUUUUUAAAUACCCGAAGGACAGCAGAUCUCAUCUGAGCUUGGAAAUGAAGUGAUGUAAGCCCUGAUUAGUACUUGGAUGAGAAACCACCAAUGAAUACAAGAUGUUUUAGGCUAUAUUUCAGAGGAAGGAAUUGGAAAAACAGCUCUGAGUAUUCCUUGCUAAAGAAAACCCAAUGAAAUUUGUGGAGUUGCAAUAAGUCAAUAGGUGAAUUGAAGGCACAUAAUCGUGACAAGCUUUAUGCCUUUUUUGUAGCGCAAAUGGGUGUGUAACCAUUGUUGUUGUUUAUUCAGUCAGUCACUUACAACUCUUCGUGACCUCAUGGACCAGCCCACGCCAGUGGCCACCCCCAGCUCCUUCAAGGUCAAGCCAAUCACUUCAAGGAUACCAUCCAUCUAUCUUGCCCUUGGUUGGCCCCUCUUCCUUUUUCCUUCCAUUUACCCCAGCAUCAUUCUCUUCUCCAAGCUUUCCUGUCUUCUCAUGAUGUGGCCAAAGUGCUUCAUCUUUGCCUCAUCCUUCCCGCCAGUGAGCAGCCAUUGGGCAUUAUUUCCUGGAGGAUGGACUGGUUGGAUCUUCUUGCGGUCCAAGGCACUCUCAGGAGUUUCCUCCAGCACCAGAGUUCAAAAGCAUCUCUCUUCCUUUGCUCAGCCUUCCUUAUGGUCCAGCUCUCGCAUCCAUAGGUUACUAGGGGGAAUACCAUUGCUUUGACUAUGCGGACCUUUGUUGCCAGUGUGAUGUCUCUGCUUUUCACUAUUUUGUUGAGGCUUAAGGUAAAGGUAAGGUAAAGGUUUCCCCUGACAUUAAGUCCAGUCAUGUCUGACUCUGGGGGUUGGUGCUCAUCUCCAUUUCUAAGCUGAAGAGCCGGCGUUGUCCGUAGACACCUCCAAGGUCAUGUGGCCGGCAUGACUGCAUGGAGCGCCGUUACCUUCUCGCCGGAGCGGUACCUAUUGAUAUACUCACAUUCAGGUAUGUAGCCGGGGGGGAGGGGGGGCUUGAGGGGCUUCAGCCCCCCCCCGGAAAUUCUCAGGGUGGUCCGCAAGAAGGCCUUACAUUUAUUAUUUAAACUGUUAUGUUUAUUCAUAUCAUGAUCUGAUCACCAUGCUCAAUAUAUCCCAUAUGCAUGGGGGUAUUGGGAUAACGAUACAAAAGGUUUGCUAGCGUAGACCCUCUCCCGCUCAGACUCAGUCCCCCCCCCCCCGAACCAAAAUCCCAGCCCCUUACGAAACAAAAUCCUGGCUACGGGCCUGCUGACAUUGGCAUGUUUUCAAACUGCUAGAUUGGCAGAAGCUGGAGCUAACAGCAGGCGCUCACUCCGCUCCCAGGAUUUGAACCUGUGACCUUUCAGUCUGCAAGUUCAGCUCUAACACACUUCACCACCGGGUAUUUAAAAACUCUAAAAUCAGAACAGUAAAUAAGGAACAACACGCUAAAAACAGGGGAAACAAUCAGGGCCAGUUAACUCCCAACAAAGGAUUCCCCCAGGCAGGAAGCAGCCAGGCCUUGAAGCUGCAAGGCUUUUCAAUGCUUAUCAAAUUGGCCAAUUGAAAUAUUCACACUUGUAUCAGGCAGACAAGAGUUCUUUCUCCCACCCUGGACUUUCCACAGAUAUAUAUAAACCCCACUUGCCUAGUUUUCCAACAGACCUCACAACCUCUGAGGAUACCUGCCAUAGAUGUGGGCGAAACGUCAGGAGAGAAUGCUUCUGGAACGUGGCCAUGCAGCAUGGAAAACUCACAUGGAAAACUCACAGCAACCCAAUUCUAGUGCAGUUUAGAGAGCCAUUGGGAGCUUUGGUGGGCAGAAGGACAAGAGAGGCGGCGCCUGGCUUUUUGGCCGGCUCUUCGCCCUCCGGCCUGGGGCCUCUGAACGGGAAGGGCUUCUUCGGAGGGUCGGGAG